GUGUACCGGUACAAGGAGGCCGAAACAGCGGGAUGAGUUGCAGAUUUUGGAAAAACAGAGGGACUUAACAGGGUAUUGUUACAACAUGUGAUGAGGGGUUAUUAGAGAGAGUAUUCCCUCUCUCUCUCCCACUCCCACAGCCCCCUCUCUCUCUCUCUGUUCAUGCAAACCGGAGAAGAGAAAGAAGAAGAAAGAGAAGAGGAAAAGAAAAAGAGAAGACGAAAAAGAGAAGGAAAAGGAGAAGAUGGUGAGGACCAAGUAGAAGAU
rnacentral:lncRNA from 1 species